AUUGAACGCUGGCGGCAUGCCUUACACAUGCAAGUCGAACGGCAGCAUGAUCUAGCUUGCUAGAUUGAUGGCGAGUGGCGAACGGGUGAGUAAUACAUCGGAACGUGCCCUGUAGUGGGGGAUAACUAGUCGAAAGAUUAGCUAAUACCGCAUACGACCUGAGGGUGAAAGUGGGGGACCGCAAGGCCUCAUGCUAUAGGAGCGGCCGAUGUCUGAUUAGCUAGUUGGUGAGGUAAAGGCUCACCAAGGCGACGAUCAGUAGCUGGUCUGAGAGGACGAUCAGCCACACUGGGACUGAGACACGGCCCAGACUCCUACGGGAGGCAGCAGUGGGGAAUUUUGGACAAUGGGCGAAAGCCUGAUCCAGCAAUGCCGCGUAUGUGAAGAAGGCCUUCGGGUUGUAAAGCACUUUUGUCCGGAAAGAAAUGGCUCUGGUUAAUACCUGGGGUCGAUGACGGUACCGGAAGAAUAAGGACCGGCUAACUACGUG
rnacentral:rRNA from 1 species